UCGUGUUAACACCAGAAUGUACCUGUUACCACGAGAGGUCAAAGGAAAUAACCCUACAUAAUCAAUAGCUUAUGUAUCCCAUGGCGCUCCACUUUUCAAAUGUCCCAUAGGUGCUUUAGGAAGCUUGUGUGGAAGUUUGUCUGCUUGACAUGUAUCACAUUUUCCCACAAACAGGUUAAUGUCCUCCUUCCUAUUAAACCAGUAAUAAUGUUGUUUGGCCUUUUAUGCUGUCUUCUUGGUUCCUAAAUGGCCAGACAGCACUGAAGAAUGUAUUUGGUGAAGGAUCUCUUCUCUUUGGAACCAACAGUUGUUUUUAUUCACCAGUGCCAUUCAUCUUGACAAAUGUCUUAAACACUGCACCGCUUACCAAUUGCAGGUUAUCCCACUGAAUCCAGUAAUAUAUUGUUGCAGGCCCCCCAGUCGCCAUAUCAUCACUUGAUGGUUUCUCACCGGUUUUCAUGGCCAAUAAUAUUGGUUUAAUCUCUGGAUCAUUCUCUUGCAUAGCAGCGAUUUCUUCAGCGGAAUGCACCUUCAGCCAAUGGGAAAUAUCUUGCCAAACUCCCUUGUAUUCCCACACCAUGUCUUCAGCUCUCUUGCGACAUUUACGACAGGGCCCAUACUUCAGUGGUUCGCUCGUGUCAACUCCGUGGCAUGUACAAUCCUUUGGGGUUUCGCACCUGGACAAGGCAUCACAGUGACCUUGCUUAUGCCCUGGUCUUUACUCAAUCGCAAAGUCGUAGUGCGACAAUAUCUCAAUCCACCGGGCUAUCUUCCCUCUCGGCUCUUUUAAUUGAAACAACCAAAUCAAUGCCUAGUGGUCAGUUCGAACCCUAAAAUGCCUCCCCAACAAAUACUGUCUAAAAUAUUCUAUGAAGUAUCCCACUGCAAGACGUUCCAGCUCUGUAAUGCAAUUGUUUUGCUCUGCUUUGUUCAACAACCUGCUAACAUAAGCUAUUACUUAGUAGCCCUACCCUCCUGUAUCUGAGACAGCACAGCUCCUAUUUCAAUGCCAGAUCCGUCUGUGUCCAGAAUAAAUUCUCCCCCUUUGUUCAAUGGGUAGCCCAUUAUUUCCGGCCCAACUAAAGCACUUUUUAACUGCUCGAACGAGCGAGUGCACGCUUCGGUCCAAACGAAAGGUUUUCCCUUUCUUUGUCAGUUCAACCAUCGGUCGUGACUUUUCUACAAAACCCUUGAUCCCAUGGCUACGAACUGCUUAAUUUGCUUUGCGUUAUUUGGUUGUGGCACAUCCAAGAUUUUUGCUAUGUUAAUGGGAUUAGGCCUUACUCCACGUCUAGACACUACAUGACCAAGGAAUGUAACUUCCUCCUGGAGUAGCUCACAUUUGCUUGGUUUCACCUUAAGGCCUGCUUCUCGCAGCCGCUUCAACACCUGCUCAACUCGUACCAUAUGCUCCGUGAAAGUAGCUCCAAAUACCACUAUGUCGUCUAUAUAUAUAAGACAAGUUUCCCAUUGAAGCCCCUGCAAAGAGAGUUCCAUAGUCCUUUGAAAUGUAUUAGCUGCACAUUUCAUUGUCC
rnacentral:sRNA from 1 species